rnacentral:rRNA from 1 species
AUUGAACGCUGGCGGCAGGCCUAACACAUGCAAGUCGAACGAGUGGCGGACGGGUGAGUAAUGAUUGGGAAUCUAGCUUAUGGAGGGGGCUAACUACGGGAACACGUAGCUACUACUGCUUACCACAGGAUGUGCCCACGUGGGAUUAGGUAGUUGGUGAGGUAAAGGCUCACCAAGCCGACGAUGUCUAGCUGGUCUGAGAGGAUGAUCGGACACACUGGGACUGAGACACGGCCCAGACUCCUACGGGAGGCAGCAGUGGGGAAUAUUGCGCAAUGGGCGCAAGCCUGAUGCAGCCAUGCCGCGUGUAUGAAGAAGGCCUUCGGGUUGUAAAAGACUUUCAGUCGGGAGGCGUUACCGACAGAAGAAGCACCGGCUAACUCCGUGCCAGCAGCCGCGGUAAUUC